AGCGAACGCUGGCGGCAGGCCUAACACAUGCAAGUCGAACGAACUCUUCGGAGUUAGUGGCGGACGGGUGAGUAACACGUGGGAACGUGCCUUUAGGUUCGGAAUAACUCAGGGAAACUUGUGCUAAUACCGAAUGUGCCCUUCGGGGGAAAGACUUAUCGCCUUUAGAGCGGCCCGCGUCUGAUUAGCUAGUUGGUGAGGUAAAGGCUCACCAAGGCGACGAUCAGUAGCUGGUCUGAGAGGAUGAUCAGCCACAUUGGGACUGAGACACGGCCCAAACUCCUACGGGAGGCAGCAGUGGGGAAUCUUGCGCAAUGGGCGAAAGCCUGACGCAGCCAUGCCGCGUGAAUGAUGAAGGUCUUAGGAUUGUAAAAUUCUUUCACCGGGGACGAUAAUGACGGUACCCGGAGAAGAAGCCCCGGCUAACUUCGUG
rnacentral:rRNA from 1 species